CGGACCAGGAAGUUAACAUACAAAAUGUACGUAUUGUAUAAGGUUAUACGGCUGAUACCCGUCUAAUAUUUACCUGCAGACUCGACAUUCCAUCAUAUCUCACAGUGGAAGCCAACUUCACUCGUUAAUCCUUCUACAUAUAACACUAAGUAAUCCAAUCAUCGUCAGACAUACAGCGCGACAGCCAGACGAAUACAAGUAUCAACAUGUGGCUGGGAAUUGAUGUCUCAGCGAUUUACUUUGUAAUCCUUUCUGCGUCUGUCCUCGUUACAGAUCAAACCCUUGGCUAUGGCAUUACACUGAAUGGGAAUGCAGUAUCAUCUCAGUCUUUAGAGAUACAACUGAGCAUUGGAACAAUAAAUACAGUAGUGGUUCUGGACAGACCAGAUGGAUCAACAGUUGGAUCCUGUUUAGCACCACUAGGAGGUGUCAGUGGAGGAUGCAGUGCAGGCCUAACACAGGAUUUGACGAAUGGAAUAACGACAUACAGUAUAGCAUAUGUAUCACGAGCCACCGACCAAGGUGUUUGGACAAGUACACAUGGAAUCGAUAAUGGAAGUAUAAACAUAACAGUACUAACGAUUCCUACAGUCAAUGUAAUUCGGCCAGUAUCGUCUUUGACACUGUCGUCAAGUACCAGUAAUACCCAAAGCCUGACCAUCACAGUGACGUGUGCAUAUCCAGCAGUCUCACUCGGCUUGUCCUUUGUGCCAACUGGAGGAGGUACUGCACUAGAUGCGCCAUCAUCACCAUAUACAUGUACUUCUACUGGUAACACAGGGUGUUCUGACAAUGAUGCCAACAGUUACACCUGUGAAAUUGUACCAAAACAGGAGACAACUCUGUCAUCCGAUACAACAUACUACAUACAAAUAACAGUCAAUCUUGACGGACAGUACCAACCUAUAGGACUCACACGCACCAUCACGGAUACAGAGAUAAUAGUACAAGGUUUGUAUAGAUCAUAUAUGGUGUUGGCGUCUUUGAUUGCUUAUUUAUAUCCAGUAAGUCGUUGUUUAUUGUUAAUUUUUAUUUUUUUUAUUUUUUCAUACCUAUUUAUUAAAUGAAUUUGAUUUUUUUCUGUUAUUAUUUUUGCAAGGCUUAUAUUUAACUUUGAUUGAUAUACUAGGUAUACCAAGUAAAACGUUCUUGAUGUCAUCUUUUACGCCAAACCCUAUCUAGCUCUUUUUAAACAGUCAAGGUUCAUAUUUUACAUUUAAGAAGCAAAUACGAAAUAAAAUGCAGGAUUUUAUCACUAAGUUAUUAACAAAUUCGUUGAUUUUAAAAUGUUAAAUUACAUAAAAUACUUGGAUUGUCAUUUUACGAUAUUUUUAUUGCAUUAGAAGUUAUAUUUAUACUGACUGUAAAAGUAAUGGAUGAUUUCGAAUCCAUAAAAUCCGACUCAAAUAUAUUAAUUAUAAUAUAUAUGACGAAAACAGGACAUGGUAUAUCAAACAAUAUAUUGCAUAUUCACAUAUGUGUGUAAAAGGUUAUAUGUUCGCAUAAAAAUGCAGUGUUCAUAUAAAAUAGUGGCACUAACUAAUGCUCAUCCUUUGAAAAAUCAAAACGAUUUUGGUACAUGUAUCAAUAUAUUUAGAUAUACAAUGGAAAUGAGUUUUAGUGUUUAUACAAAUACCGGAUCUAGUAAGUGAAAACGAGAGUAUGGUCGAAUAUAGGUACUGGAUCCUAACAAACAGAUUUUCGCGCCGGAUGCGUAUCACAAGAGAUAGAUAACUAGUAAUGUCGUGAUAACGACAGAAAUGACAAGUGAAUGUAAUUACAAACGAUCAUAAAAAGACAUAGAACAUAGAAUAUACAUGCAGGUCUAGUCGAUAAACAAUGAACAAUAUCGUUAUUUGUGUCUUAAAGAUCCCCUCAGUUCAUAACUAGUUCGCCGAGGGCCAAUUAUAAAUAAAGGGGUAAAAACUAAUGUAGUUCAGGGAUGAUAUCAAUAAAUAGUCCAAAGAAAUGUUUAAACAUUCUAACCGAGCGCAAGUGGAAGCAAUGUGCCAACAGCAGAUAUAUUUGUUUAUAUCCGCAGUUUGCUUAUUGCGUCCCCCCAAACUCGGCAAAAACUGCACAUAAGUAUAUGAUACUUAAAGCUGCUAAGAUAUUUUUUUGCAGAAUUAAAGGUAACUCACCUGCGUUGAUCGUAGUUAUCGCUUCCAUUUUAUCAUAUUAUCAAACAAAAAUCUGUAUCAUCGUAUGAAGCAACAGUAUUAUGAAAUUACAUAUUUAUAAAUAAUUAUAUUUCAAUUGUUUUAUUUCAGAUGAAACUAGUGCUUCAAAUGUUUUCACAAUUGAUCUCUGGGGAAAUAUUUCCUUAUCUUACACAUUGUUAUAAAUCACACACCAAAGACAUACUCGUGUGUUUACCAUUGUAAUUGGUUGGUGUUGUGUCGUCUCUGUCCAGAUAAUACACACGCCAUUCGUCUUUGUCUUUGUUCUUUGUCUUCAUAUAUUGUCUAGCGUGACGUCAGUGUAGUGUAAAAACGUUUGUCCCGUGUUAGUGAGAGUGUGUGACGUUGAGAGAAGGCAUAUGGCUAUAUUGGGUGGAGUUGGGUUGGGGCUUGUUUUGUUUUCUAAGAUUAGGAGGACAGAUCAAUGGAUGGCGAGGAAUACCACGAAAAACAAGGCCGUGAUAAUACCACGCAGGAGGCCGUACAGCUUCAAGGGAUUUCACCCAAUCAAAAGUCUGUCAUUAAGAGGCCAAUGAGCUAACUGAAGAACAUGAACGAGACUCGUCUCAUGAAUUGAAGAGGACAUCGUUCUCCACAGGGACUAGUCGGAUCCACAACCUCAGUGUUAUAAGAGACACGACCCACCUUAAGGUGAGGAACCCGGCCAUUAUCGAAUUAAUUCCAAGUUUACCAACUGAGAUGACGUUGAAUCAGGUCAAGAUGGAAUAACUCCCCUUCGAAAGCACCAACAGCGUUUAGACGUCAUUUAUUUCGACAUCAAGGGAUACAUGCGACCAAUUGUGUUCUCAUACUAGGCAUAUCGUUGCCAUUCUCUAACAUGAGAAUAUUUAUUUGACAUUUAUCAGAAGAAUUUUACAUUUAGAAUCACAACUCAUAUCAACAGAUAAGACCUCCAUGCACGCCACAGUGAAUCAUCGAGCAUCCAUACCAGCCCUUUAUUGGUAGAUUCUGAUACGCGUCAAGCAUCUACCAAAGGCACAGAACUAUCAACAGUUUUAAGUGAAAUGCUAUUCUAAUUUCUCUAUAUCAAACGAUCUCUUACAAUAACUGUCUCUAUGGUAUAACAUUGUAAAGCAAACGUAUCCAAGAUAAUGAAGGGAUAUCAAGUGAAUAUUUAAGUUGGAAGCUCUGUGACACGAUUUUAUUCCUGAUGAUUUGACACAGCCUUACAAUCCAAGUUUAUUUUCUGAGGAAUGGAGAGAUGGAGUCAUACAUAAUAUCCACAUAUACAGUCUUACUAUCAACCAAUUAACACGGUGGUUAUUUGCAUUGUAACAUUGGAUUGCACAAAGACAGUUCAUCAGUAACUAUGGAAAUCAACAUGUUUUUAAAGGAGUCAGGUGCGAGAUAAAUGCAUGUGUACUGAUGUACUCCUCAUUCAGUGUAUUAAAUGUGUAAACCGUAUACUACUUGGUAUGUUACUGGUAAUGACUUGACGCUACACCAAAGAAGAUGUAGAAUACGCUCUGUAUAAGGAAAAAGUCGAGCUGCCUACAGUAAUCAAAGGGAGAUAACCACAAUUGAUAACAUGAACUGUUUUACAGAUUCUUUUAUAACACGUAAUUUCAUCAAGUAAAAAACAUAUUUAUGAAUGACUAUAUGCGUUUGAGAAAACAAUUUAGGGAAAACAAUAACACAUAUCUUACAAUGAAAACAAGCAUGAUAUAAGAACAACACAAUGGAUCUGAAUCUGCUUUGUUUAUAUCAUGCUAUGUGGUAUAUACUAUAAUUGAUACUUUUCACUUACAAUAUAUAGUAUAAUUAUCACUGUACUGGACUUUUGUGUAUGAACGAGUUUCCAUUAAUGACCAAUAAAUCACAGUACGACCAGAUGAUGCU